CCUACGGGAGGCUGCAGUGGGGAAUAUUGCACAAUGGGCGAAAGCCUGAUGCAGCAACGCCGCGUGAACGAUGAAGGCCUUCGGGUCGUAAAGCUCUGUCCUCAAGGAAGAUAAUGACGGUACUUGAGGAGGAAGCCCCGGCUAACUACGUGCCAGCAGCCGCGGUAAUACGUAGGGGGCUUGCGUUAUCCGGAAUUACUGGGCGUAAAGGGUGGGGAGGUGGUAUCUUAAUUAAGAGGUGAAAGGCUACGGCGAAACCGUAGUAAGCAUAUCAAACUGGGAAACUUGAGUGCAGGAGAGGAGAGUGGAAUUCCUAGUGUAGCGGUGAAAUGCGUAGAUAUUAGGAGGAACACCAGUUGCGAAGGCGGCUCUCUGGACUGUAACUGACACUGAGGCACGAAAGCGUGGGGAGCAAACAGGAUUAGAUACCCCAGUAGUC
rnacentral:rRNA from 1 species